AGUGAACGCUGGCGGUAGGCCUAACACAUGCAAGUCGAACGGCAGCACAGUAAGAGCUUGCUCUUACGGGUGGCGAGUGGCGGACGGGUGAGGAAUACAUCGGAAUCUACUUUUUCGUGGGGGAUAACGUAGGGAAACUUACGCUAAUACCGCAUACGACCUACGGGUGAAAGCAGGGAAUCUUCGGACCUUGCGCGAUUGAAUGAGCCGAUGUCGGAUUAGCUAGUUGGCGGGGUAAAGGCCCACCAAGGCGACGAUCCGUAGCUGGUCUGAGAGGAUGAUCAGCCACACUGGAACUGAGACACGGUCCAGACUCCUACGGGAGGCAGCAGUGGGGAAUAUUGGACAAUGGGCGCAGGCCUGAUCCAGCCAUACCGCGUGGGUGAAGAAGGCCUUCGGGUUGUAAAGCCCUUUUGUUGGGAAAGAAAAGCAGCAGGUUAAUACCCCGCUGUUCUGACGGUACCCAAAGAAUAAGCACCGGCUAACUUCGUG
rnacentral:rRNA from 1 species